GAUUGGCGGUGAUGACCCAAUGAAAUUCAAGCUCAACAGACCGGAUUGUAGGCCUUCUCUUUUCAAGAGAAGGUUUGCGUGUCGACAACCCCGCUGAACUGAGCCUUC